GGGUUUUCAGUUAAGCUGUUUAUGCUCAAUUUAAUAUGAUUCAAUUAAGCUGUUUAUGCUUUCAUCUUUGUUGCCUAGAAGUUGAGGAAGCAAUCUAGUUUAUUUAUCCCAUCCAAUGUAAGAUAUGGCUAUGUUAUUUCUUAUAUUGCAGCUGAACAAGAUGAGUGCAGGGACCAGCACUGUAAAAUCAUUAAAAUCAAAAAGUAGAUUUCGGUUUACAGAAAGUUUUGAUCCUCAUUUGGCAAGUUCUAAGUAUUGGGACAAAAUCCCUAUGAAGAUGUGAGAAAGUGGACAACUAUCUAAGUAAAUAUGAUCCAAAUCACUGGAGAAUGCGUUAGUAUAAGAACUUUAAGAGACAGAAUUCAAAACCUACUGACGAAGUUCUUGGAUAAGUUUAAAGCAUUGGAGGAAAGAUCAGGAAUAGAAGUGCCUACCAGAGAUAGAUGAUUUGUUGCGCAGAGUUGCAAAAAGAAUUUAAGAAAGAAAAAAAACAAAUAGUAGCAAAGAAGUUUCUGUGUCAAGUUUUGAGAAGGGAUUUAUUGCCAGAGAAAAAGCGUCAUGCUAAUUUCUUCAGAUUCCAAAUGAGAAUGAUAUAGACCAGGAUAUAUGUAAUCAAGAUGUAUACAUUGAUUUUUGUACCAAUGAAAUGGACAUAACCAUAGAAGAACCCAUGGAAGAAAUAAGCAUCACAGAAAAUGUUGAGUUUAUUAAAAAUGUUGAAAAAAAAGAGAGUAACACUCUUGAUGACACUAACGCCUCAAAACAAAAAAGGAAAAGGCCUUUGGCACAAGCCAAUAUUUUAAAUCCUGGUUAAAAAAAAACCAGACCUGCCAUAAAACAAAAUAUGGUUCAGUUCCUAGAAAAAAAAUCAACGCCAAUAUGACAUUAGAUUUAAAGAAUUGGAGUCGGAGAGGCGAAAGCAGAUACUGGACGAAAAUAAAUUCGAAUUAGAUAAACAAGAACGUCUACACAGAAUGGAAUCAGAAACCAAACUGGCGAUGGAGGAUCGAAGAUUAUCUAUACAAGAAGAGGUUUUAAAGGUACAACUCAACCUUGUAAGCAAUCAGCAAGAUAUUUUAAAAAUUGUUUUAAGAAAAAAGGAUGAUUGAAUUUAAGAACGCUACACUCUGCAGAGUGAUUCUUAAGCUGGAUACAUUUUUUAUUUUUCUUUAUUCAAUCUGUAUUAUCGUUUCUUCAUCCUGUAUUAUAUUAUAAUUAUUAUAUCAUAUAUUAAUAGUAUGAGAUACGGCAUUAGGAAUAUAUGUAUACCCUCAUCUGAUUAGUCAUAAGAAUUCAUAAUAUACAGGGUGUUUCAGAGUUGUGGUGCCAAAACCUUA